rnacentral:rRNA from 1 species
GGCGGCGUGCUUAACACAUGCAAGUUCGAACGAAAGGACCGGGAAGAGCUUGCUCUUUCCGGAAUUGAGUGGCGGACGGGUGAGUAACGCGUGGGUAACCUGCCUCACACAGGGGGGAUAACAGUUGGAAACGGCUGCUAAUACCGCAUAAGCGCACAGUACCGCAUGGUACAGUGUGAAAAACUCCGGUGGUGUGAGAUGGACCCGCGUCUGAUUAGCUAGUUGGCAGGGUAACGGCCUACCAAGGCGACGAUCAGUAGCCGACCUGAGAGGGUGACCGGCCACAUUGGGACUGAGACACGGCCCAAACUCCUACGGGAGGCAGCAGUGGGGAAUAUUGCACAAUGGGGGAAACCCUGAUGCAGCGACGCCGCGUGAGUGAUGAAGUAUUUCGGUAUGUAAAACUCUAUCAGCAGGGAAGAUAAUGACGGUACCUGACUAAGAAGCACCGGCUAAAUACGUG